ensembl:lncRNA
GGCAAGAGAUGGUGAAGUGAGACUUGAGAAGAAUGUCUAAGAAUUGAAGUGGCUGUUCGGGGGAAUGGGGUGAGGAGCUAAGGAUUCCUGGAAGGACUGUGCCUGAGGACAACACUGGCUGUACAUGUUGAGGAGGUCAGAGCCUCUGUCUCCCUGGGUCCUAAACUGGUGAACUAGAGCAGACUCUUCCCACAUCAGCCACACUACCAGUUGGACUUGAUAUGAAUGAGAGAUAAACAUUAUGGAAAGAUUUUGUCAUGGAGAGGAGAUGCUUUUCCUUCAAUUCAUGAUGGCCAAAUUAGGA